AGAUAGGUCCUUGAUCUAGGUGACAGCCAUAGGGGCGGUGGUUAGGGAAGUGGUAGUGCGGUGAAGCACCACUGAAGGUGAGCGUGGCGAAGUCAGGAGCCCUCUUUAGAGCCAAAAUAAGGUUUUUCUCUCGAAGUAGUGAGAUUGCAAGCUCCCAGGCGAUUGCACAGAUUAGCAACCUAGACAGGAUCUUUAUCAUUUAAACCUAUUAAAAUGAAAUAAACUAAUGUAACCAGUACUUUAGCAGGGCAUUGAGGAGACUCAAUAAUAAGAUAAAUAAGACUAAGAACCUUCCUUUUAAGGUCCAGGUGAACAAACAAUGCAAUAAUGUGAUGGUUCCUGGUUAGCAUAAACUGGGUGCACGAAAGACGAGG
rnacentral:lncRNA from 1 species